rnacentral:rRNA from 1 species
GAUGAACGCUGGCGGCGUACCUAAUACAUGCAAGUAGAACGCUGAAGCUUGGUGCUUGCACCGAGCGGAUGAGUUGCGAACGGGUGAGUAACGCGUAGGUAACCUGCCUCUUAGCGGGGGAUAACUAUUGGAAACGAUAGCUAAUACCGCAUAAAAGUCGACAUUGCAUGAUGUUGACUUGAAAGGUGCAAUUGCAUCACUAAGAGAUGGACCUGCGUUGUAUUAGCUAGUUGGUGAGGUAACGGCUCACCAAGGCAACGAUACAUAGCCGACCUGAGAGGGUGAUCGGCCACACUGGGACUGAGACACGGCCCAGACUCCUACGGGAGGCAGCAGUAGGGAAUCUUCGGCAAUGGGGGCAACCCUGACCGAGCAACGCCGCGUGAGUGAAGAAGGUUUUCGGAUCGUAAAGCUCUGUUGUAAGAGAAGAACGAGUGUGAGAGUGGAAAGUUCACACUGUGACG